rnacentral:rRNA from 1 species
UACGAAGGGUGCAAACGUUGCUCGGAAUUAUUGGGCGUAAAGCGCACGUAGGCGGCUCUGUAUGUUGGAUGUGAAAACCCUCGGCUCAACCAAGGAAGUGCAUCCAAAACUGCAGAGCUUGAGUACUUAAGAGGAUCGCGGAAUUCCCGGUGUAGAGGUGAAAUUCGUAGAUAUCGGGAGGAACAUCAGUGGCGAAGGCGAGUCUCUGGACGACUCCUGACACUGAGGCACGAAAGCUGGGGGAGCAAACAGG